rnacentral:snRNA from 2 species
GUGCUCGCUUCAGCAGCACAUAUACUAAAAUUGGAACGAUACAGAGAAGAUUAGCGUGGCCCCUGCGCAAGGAUGACAUGCAAAUUCAUGAAGCGUUCCAUAUUUUU